GGCCGGUUAGCUCAGUUGAUUAGAGCGUGGUACUAAUAAUGCCAAGGUUGCAGGUUCGAUCCCCGUGUGGGCCA